rnacentral:rRNA from 1 species
GACGAACCGUGCGAACGUUAUUCGGAAUCACUGGGCUUAAAGCGCGUGUAGGCGGGCCGGCACGUCCGUCGCUGAAAGCCCCGCUCAACCGGGGAAGUGGCGUGGAUACGGCCGGCCUGGAGGGGGUAGGGGACCUGGGAACUUCCGGUGGGAGCGGUGAAAUGCGUAGAGAUCGGAAAGAACACCAACGGCGAAAGCACUCUGCUGGGCCGACACUGACACUGAGAGACGAAAGCUAGGGGAGCGAAUGGG